rnacentral:rRNA from 1 species
CAAUAGCGUAUAUUUAAGUUGUUGCAGUUAAAAAGCUCGUAGUUGGAUUUCGGUUGAGAGCGGCCGGUCCGCCGUUUGGUGUGCACUGGCUGGUUUCAACUUCCUGUAGAGGACGCGCUUUGGGCUUAACGGUCUGAACGUGGAGUCUACGUGGUUACUUUGAAAAAAUUAGAGUGUUCAAAGCGGGCUUACGCUUGAAUAUUUCAGCAUGGAAUAACACUAUAGGACUCCUGUCCUAUUUCGUUGGUCUCGGGACGGGAGUAAUGAUUAAGAGGAACAGUUGGGGGCAUUCGUAUUUCAUUGUCGGAGGUGAAAUUCUUGGAUUUAUGAAAGACGAACUUCUGCGAAAGCUUUUGCCAAGGAUGUUUUCAUUA